CUGACAGGCGCCAUCUGGACAGCCCUUCCUUAGCUCCCACUGCGACGCCGCCCUCCAAGUGCCUUUCUGCGCAUGGGCAGCGACAACAGAGAGAGCUAAGGUGGCUUCCAGUUUGGAUCCUCCGGGAAUCACCAAGCAUGAGCCUACAGGCAUAAAGACCCACUAAGAGCCUAAAUAUUCCACUUCACUGCAAGAGCACCAGUGGCUGAGGACCAACCCUGCAACAUAGGAGCUUCACGCAGAGUUGAAGUGGAGGGAUAAAUGGUUACACAUAUAGUUCUCUAUCUACCAAGUUGAUAGUUUCAUAAAUUUCCCCAUCCUUUUACUUGA